CCCUUAGACGUUCUGGGCCGCACGCGCGCUACACUGACCAGUGCAACAAGCAUCCGUCCUUGGCCGACAGGCUCGGGCAAUCUUUGAACGCUGGUCGUGAUGGGGAUAGACUUUUGCAAUUUUUGGUCUUCAACGAGGAAUUCCUAGUAAACGCAAGUCAUCAACUUGCAUUGAUUACGUCCCUGCCCUUUGUACACACCGCCCGUCGCACCUACCGAUUGAAUGGUCCGGUGAAGCCUCCGGAUUGGCGCGUGCCCUCGGGCGCCGCCGAGAAGUUGGUUAAACCUUACCAUUUAGAGGAAGGUGAAGUCGUAACA
rnacentral:rRNA from 1 species